AGGAGGAGUAAAAGCUAAGUUCAGCUUUGAGGUGACUGUGACCUUGAUUGAAAGCAUCUUAUCGUUUAAGUUGGACCCGAGGCAAGGGUAAAGAUAAAAAUAAGUAGAAGGGGGACCGAGCUGAAGCAGAAUCUUGCCUGGAUGAUGUACAUAUGGCUACUUUGACCUGGGGAUGGCCUAGUUAUAUGUUUUGUUAUAUGUCACCUAGUAAUGACACGAGUAUGGUUUGUAUUAAAGAAUGAAAGUAGACUUUAUAUGUGUGUAAUAUGGUUUUGUUGGAAAAAAAUAAAAAAAUGCUAUUGCUUU